rnacentral:rRNA from 1 species
AGCUUGCUACCUGACCUAGCGGCGGACGGGUGAGUAAUGCUUAGGAAUCUGCCUAUUAGUGGGGGACAACAUUCCGAAAGGAAUGCUAAUACCGCAUACGCCCUACGGGGGAAAGCAGGGGAUCUUCGGACCUUGCGCUAAUAGAUGAGCCUAAGUCAGAUUAGCUAGUUGGUGGGGUAAAGGCCUACCAAGGCGACGAUCUGUAGCGGGUCUGAGAGGAUGAUCCGCCACACUGGGACUGAGACACGGCCCAGACUCCUACGGGAGGCAGCAGUGGGGAAUAUUGGACAAUGGGCGAAAGCCUGAUCCAGCCAUGCCGCGUGUGUGAAGAAGGCCUUUUGGUUGUAAAGCACUUUAAGCGAGGAGGAGGCUACUGAGAUUAAUACUCUUGGAUAGUGGACGUUACUCGCAGAAUAAGCACCGGCUAACUCUGUGCCAGCAGCCGCGGUAAUACAGAGGGUGCGAGCGUUAAUCGGAUUUACUGGGCGUAAAGCGUGCGUAGGCGGCUUUUUAAGUCGGAUGUGAAAUCCCUGAGCUUAACUUAGGAAUUGCAUUCGAUACUGGGAAGCUAGAGUAUGGGAGAGGAUGGUAGAAUUCCAGGUGUAGCGGUGAAAUGCGUAGAGAUCUGGAGGAAUACCGAUGGCGAAGGCAGCCAUCUGGCCUAAUACUGACGCUGAGGUACGAAAGCAUGGGGAGCAAACAGGAUUAGAUACCCUGGUAGUCCAUGCCGUAAACGAUGUCUACUAGCCGUUGGGGCCUUUGAGGCUUUAGUGGCGCAGCUAACGCGAUAAGUAGACCGCCUGGGGAGUACGGUCGCAAGACUAAAACUCAAAUGAAUUGACGGGGGCCCGCACAAGCGGUGGAGCAUGUGGUUUAAUUCGAUGCAACGCGAAGAACCUUACCUGGUCUUGACAUAGUAAGAACUUUCCAGAGAUGGAUUGGUGCCUUCGGGAGCUUACAUACAGGUGCUGCAUGGCUGUCGUCAGCUCGUGUCGUGAGAUGUUGGGUUAAGUCCCGCAACGAGCGCAACCCUUUUCCUUAUUUGCCAGCGGGUUAAGCCGGGAACUUUAAGGAUACUGCCAGUGACAAACUGGAGGAAGGCGGGGACGACGUCAAGUCAUCAUGGCCCUUACGACCAGGGCUACACACGUGCUACAAUGGUCGGUACAAAGGGUUGCUACCUAGCGAUAGGAUGCUAAUCUCAAAAAGCCGAUCGUAGUCCGGAUUGGAGUCUGCAACUCGACUCCAUGAAGUCG